GUGCCAGCCGCCGCGGUAAGACAGAGGAGCCAAGCGUUGUCCGGAUUGACUGGGCGUAAAGCGCACGCAGGUGGUUGCGCAAGUGCCGUGUGAAAGCCGGCGGCUUAACUGCCGGAGGCCAUGGCAGACUGCGUCACUCGAGGCCGAGAGAGGUCCGUGGAAUUGCCGGUGUAGUGGUGAAAUGCGUAGAGAUCGGCAGGAACACCCAAGGAGAAAUCAGCGGACUGGCUCGGUACUGACACUGAGGUGCGAAAGCGUGGGGAGCGAACUGGAUUAGAUACCCGGGUAGUCC
rnacentral:rRNA from 1 species